AUAAUGCGACCGAUAUUGACUCGUCACAAAGAACACUCCAGAAUGUUCUUAUUAAUGAUAUAUGCAGAGCUUCACAGUCGAAACCUCGUUUUUAAUAUAUAUUAUUUUAUGAGUAAAUAUUUGAAAUGAAUGUACACUCCGAGAACGCGGGUGGCAAUUGUAUUAAUAGUAGAAUAGCAGAUAUAAUAAUUUAAUUAUUAAUUAUUAAUAAAUAACUUCUAAAAAUGUGACACUAGGUAAUAUUAAAUUGAGAUUUGAAGACUGAUUUGUUAAUUUGAGACUUUGAGAAAAACAUGUAAUCAAAGACAUACGUGAAAAACAAAGGAUAAUGCUGAAUAUGUAGGAGAAAGUGUGUCUAAGAGAAAAUUGAGAGCACGAAUUUCCCGAAUGCGUUUAAGGCGAUGUAUUUCUGAUAAUAAAAAAAAUGGAGCUUUAAUUAGUAGCCGUUUCACAAUUUGCUCUUUCAUUCUAAUCAAUUUUCAGAUUCGAUUCACGAAAGAAACAAGGCGAUGUUUUUGCGACUUGUACAUAUGUACAUCUGUCUCCAUUUAUCACAGAGAAACCGUUAUACUUAAUAAUACUCUCUUCUCAGCUUUCUGAGAACGAUUCUUACGUUCAUCCCUAAUAUUCCUUCCUUGAAUAUCAAUACAUGCAAAUAAAAUGUUAAUAAUACAAAAUGAUACAGUUUUCUAAAUAUAACUAAACCCUAGCGUUAGAAGUUAUUUGUUGCUGAACACACACGUUAUUCCCUUGAUAAUAAUAAAUGUCCAAGAAUAGUUUCUUUGUACAAUUCGCUGUACGUUCACGCUACUUAGGCGUUCUCUCUCAAAUAACAAACUAACGUUAUUUGUUGCUGUUUUGACGUCAUCAAAGACGUCAUUUUGAUGUUGAAAUAGGGAUACGUACAUCAAUUACUUGUUACUUGGAUUCUUUAUUAAGAGAGUAUUUUUGAUUUUAUUUUAUAAAUUGCGUGUUAGUCACAAGGUCGCAAAAACAUCGCAAAAUUGAAUUCGUGGAACUGUCGAGUCAUAACAUCGCAGUUCCAAUGACUCGCAAACUGAUGCAAUAUACUCUCACAUCGAAGCAAGAUAGAUAACGUAUUAAUCUAAACGAUUGUACACUGUAAAAAGUUUGUGUAAAAUUACAACUAUGAUAGUAAUUUUAAAACUCCACUAAAAUAAAACCGAUGUUACCAAUAGCGUAGAAUAUAACGUAUUCUUAACACUUAAGACAUCUUUUUCCGUAUCUAUGAUACGCUGGGUUAUUCGUGUUUAUUUUUCCAAAUAAAAAAUUUAUUAAUUUACAUUAACAAACUUGAAAAAGUACAUUUGUAUGUAUUGAUUAAAAGAAUUAUAUACAAAAGUAAAUUAUAGUCGACCAGAUAUUUGAAAGAAAUAUGUAUACAGAUGAGAAAUUAAAUGUUAUAUACUUUAGAUUUAAAAAAUUGAUUAAUAUAUUAUACGUAUUUCCGUUAAUUUAUUAUUUUAAAUUUUCUAUCUUUAAAUUUAACUUACUUAUUUAUAAUCUAUUUGCAUUUUUCAUAAAACAAACAUUAAAGUUGAAAAGGAAAGGAGUAACAUCAAGGAAACUAGCAUAUUAACUGUUUUGUUAGAAAUAAUUAAAUUCACAGAUACGUACACAUGUUCGUUUUAUUCAAUGAUCUUCAUUCAAAAUAUAGAACAGAAAAUUCUACACAAGUUAGAAGAAAUUCACUUAAAUUGAAAUCCAAUAAAAGUUAAAAAGUUCAAGUUUCAACUUGACUCGGUUGCUUAAAUUUUCUGCGAAUAAAAUUGAUUUAGUUGUGUUAAACAAAAAAACAUUAACACGUGCACUUGCUUUGCAUCGAGUAAUCACUAAGCGUCCAAAUUAUCGAGUUAUAAAUAUCUUGCCGCCAUUUUCUUGCGUGAGUCACGUACGUGACAAUAGCAUACAUCAUAAAUGGUUGUUACUUUGUGCAGAAGUGAAAGAGAAAGAGAGAGAGAGAGAGAGAGAGAGAGAGAGA
rnacentral:lncRNA from 1 species